UACGUAGGGUGCAAGCGUUGUCCGGAAUUAUUGGGCGUAAAGGGCUCGUAGGCGGUCCAUCGCGUCGGGAGUGAAAAGCUGGGGCUUAACCCCAGUCCUGCUUUCGAUACGGGCAGGCUAGAGUGUGGUAGGGGAGAUCGGAAUUCCUGGUGUAGCGGUGAAAUUCGUAGAGAUUGGGUGGAACACCAGUGGCGAAGGCGCCUAUCUGGCUGACAACUGACGCUGAGACUCGAAAGCAUGGGGAGCAAACAGG
rnacentral:rRNA from 1 species